CCUUUUCUUGGCAGGGACUGGGCAUGUGGUCCCACUCCCUGCUAUGUACAAAGGCAGAGGGAAAGGGCUCCAGCCCCCUCAGGGUCACGCUGUCAAUGUUGGUGGCUUCCCAUCUGCUGGUUCUAUCCUCACGUGCUAGGAUCCUG
rnacentral:snoRNA from 1 species